UACAGAGGGGGCAAGCGUUGUUCGGAAUUACUGGGCGUAAAGGGCGCGUAGGCGGCCUUCUAAGUCGAACGUGAAAUCCCCGGGCUCAACCCGGGAACUGCGUCCGAGACUGAAAGGCUUGAAUCCGGGAGAGGGAUGUGGAAUUCCAGGUGUAGCGGUGAAAUGCGUAGAUAUCUGGAGGAACAUCGGUGGCGAAGGCGGCAUCCUGGACCGGUAUUGACGCUGAGGCGCGAAAGCCAGGGGAG
rnacentral:rRNA from 1 species